rnacentral:rRNA from 1 species
GAUGAACGCUGGCGGCGUGCCUAAUACAUGCAAGUCGAGCGAACGGACGAGAAGCUUGCUUCUCUGAUGUUAGCGGCGGACGGGUGAGUAACACGUGGAUAACCUACCUAUAAGACUGGGAUAACUUCGGGAAACCGGAGCUAAUACCGGAUAAUAUUUUGAACCGCAUGGUUCAAAAGUGAAAGACGGUCUUGCUGUCACUUAUAGAUGGAUCCGCGCUGCAUUAGCUAGUUGGUAAGGUAACGGCUUACCAAGGCAACGAUGCAUAGCCGACCUGAGAGGGUGAUCGGCCACACUGGAACUGAGACACGGUCCCGACUCCUACGGGAGGCAGCAGUAGGGAAUCUUCCGCAAGGGGCGAAAGCCUGCCGGAGCAACGCCGCGUGAGUGAUGAAGGGCUUCGGAUCGUAAAACUCUGUUAGUAGGGAAGAACAUAUGUGUAAGCACCUGUGCACAGCUUGACGGUGCCUAAUCAGACAGCCACUGCUAACCACGUG